rnacentral:lncRNA from 1 species
CAACAUUCAUUUUUUUGUCUUACUUAUUUUCCAUCUCUUUCACUUCUCUUAUUAUUAUAUAUAUGUUUAACUAAAAAAGGCUUUAUUAGUUAUAUCUGUUUCUAAAUUAACUUUUGUAUUAAUAAUUUUAUUAAUUUUUGUAUCCUCUAAUUAAUUAAUUAAUUAGAAAAGUACUUGUUUAAUCCUGGGAAACAUUUCACUCUAUCGAAAUAGUUUCUUAGGACAGUGUCUAGCACGACUCAAGUAUAAUUUAUAAAUUACUUAAAUUAUUAUUAUUAUUAUAUAUCGUUAUUAUUAUUAUUAUUAUUAUAUUGUUGUUGUUGUUGUUGUUGUUGUUGUUGUUGUUGUUGCUGUUGCUGUUGCUGUUGUUGUUGUUGUUGUUGUUCUUAUUAUUAUUAUUAUUAUUAUUAUUAUUAUUAUUAUUAUUAUUAUUAUUAUGUUAACAGUUUAAAUAUUAUUGUUAUUAUUAUACAUCAAUUUCCCAACAAUCUAAGAAAUUAUGGCAGAUAAUUCUAUUCCUGAUACAUUUACUACCGACGCAACUCCUGAUACUAUUGUUCUGGUUAUUCUACCAUAUGCAAAACUGUUUCCUGAUGUUUCAAAUAUUGAAAUGUUUGCUAAUAAAAUCUUUAAAAGAUGGCAAGAACGAAUAUUUUCACUACUUGAUGUUCAUGGUGUUGCAUGUGCUUUGUCACAAACUCAACCUAACGCAAACGUUAACAGAAAAAUUUUGGAGUCAUGGCAAUACGCUAAUAAGGGUGUCGCCAUACUAUUUUACAGACAAUUUCUAAUGAACUAUUUAAUGUGUAUUGCAGUUGCAAAGAAGCAAAAAUCAUCUGGGAAGCUUUAAUUAAGAAACUCACGGCUGAAGAUGUUACUAAACAAAAGUUUGUAGUUGGAAAAUUUUAUAAUUGGCAAAUGAGUGAUGUGAAAGAAAUGAAAAUUCAAAUAAAUGAAUAUCAAAAAUUGUUAGAAGAUUUGAAGGCUGAAGACAUCGCUUUACCAGAAAAAUUUGCUGCUAGAGUGUUGAUUGAAAAAUUACCCGAAUCAUGGAAUGACUAUAAAAAUAACCUGAAACAGAAGCAAAUAAAUUUUACUAUUGAGGAAAUUAUAACUCAUAUUCUAAUUAAAGACACCAACAGAAAGGAGUCCUUCAGAGCUAAGCAGGUUGUGCUCAAAGCAAAUUUAGUACAAGAUCAACACGGCAACAGAAGGUAUGGUAAUAAGUCUCAAGGUUACAAGCCUAAUAAUCUCAAUCUUAAGAAAAGAAAAGGCACUUGUUUUACUUGUGGAAAAUCAGGUCAUUGUGCUGCUCAAUGUAUGCACAAAAUGAGAAAUAACAAAGAAAUGAGAAAUCCUCCCAAAGCUAAUUUAGCUGAAGGAGAUAAAAUAUUUGCAGCUGUUAUCUCUCAAGUAAAUAUGGUAGCACAUAUAAAAGAAUAGGCAGUAGACUCUGGGGCUACUCGACACAUUUGUGUUAAUCAAGAAGCAUUUGCCUCCUAUACAUCAAUAGGGGAUGACAGUGAAGUGGUCUACCUUGGAGACUCAAGAACUGCCCAAGUCUCAGGCAAGGGUAAAACUCACUUCGGGAAAAACUUUAGCCCUCAUGAAUGUGCUACAUGUUCCUACAAUGCGAGCAAACCUGAUUUCUGUAGCUUUGCUGGAUAAAGCUGGAAUGAAAGUAUCUGUAGAAUCAAACAAGAUUAUUUUGACAAAAAUUAAUGUAUUUGUGGGAAAAAGCUAUUGUAACCAUGGACUUUAUGUACUUAAUAUUAUCAAUGAUAAUGCAUCAACUUUUGCUUAUAUGAUUGAGUCUAUUUCUUUAUGGCAUGCUAGAUUAUGAUAUGUUAAUAUUAAAUAUAUAAAGAAUAUGCAAUCACUUGGUUUAAUAUCUGGUUUAGAUUCAAGUAAUUUCAAUAAAUGUGAAAUAUGUGCUGAAGUUAAAAUAAAAAAAAUCAUGUUUUUCAGUUAAUAGAGAAACUGAACUGUUAUCUUUAAUUCAUACUGAUUUGGGUGACUUAAAACAAACUAUGACUAGAGGUGGUAAAAGAUAUUAUGUGACUUUUAUUAAUGAUUUUUCUAGAUUUAUUAAGUUGUAUUUGCUUAGAAAUAAAAAUGAUGCAUUUGAUGCUUUUGUGUCUUAUAAAUCAGAAGUUAAAAAUUAGCUUAGUAGAAAAAUCAAGAGAAUUAGAUCGGAUAGAGGUGGAGAAUAUAUGUCAUUAAAUGCUUUUUGUGAAAAAGAAGGUAUUAUUCAUGAAUUAACUCCGUCUUAUUCUCAUGAGUCUAAUGGUGUAGCUGAAAGAAAAAAUAGGACAUUGAAAGAAAUUAUGAAUUCUACGUUAAUUAGCUCUAAUGCACCUGACAAUUUGUGGGGUGAAGCUAUUUUAUCUGCAUGUCAUUUACAAAAUAGAAUUUCUCAUAAAAGAACUGGUAAAACCCCUUAUGAAUUAUGGAAAGGUUAUAAACCUAACUUGAAAUAUUUAAAAGUGUGGGGUUGUCUUGCUAAAGUUCUUCUUCCUGGACCUAAUAAGAGGAAAAUAGGUUCUAAAUCUGCAGAUUGCAUGCUUAUUGGAUAUGUUGAACAUAGUGUUGCAUAUAGAUUUUUUGUAUUGAAAAGUGAUGUACUUAAUAGUAAUACUAUAAUUGAGACAAAAAAUCCUGAAUUCUUCGAACAUAUUUUUUCAUUAUGUGAUAAAAUUUCUCAUGCACCUGUUGAAAGAGAAAAUGAAUCAACCUCUAAUAUUGAGAAACUGAGAAGGAGUAAAAGGCCUAGAAAAGAAUAUUGUUCUUAUGGAAAUGAUUUUCAGAUUUUUCUUGUUGAUAAUGAACCAUCAAAUUAUUUUGAAACUGUAUCUUCUUCUGAUGCUAAAUUUUAGAAAGAAACAAUAAAAAAUGAACUUGAUUCAAUUAUAAAAAAUAAUACAUGGGUCUUAACUGAUUUACCUCCUGGUGCAAAAUCGAUUGGUUGUAAAUGAAUUUUCAAAAGAAAACUUAACCCGAAUGGAUCGACAGAUAAAUAUAAAGCCCGAUUAAUAGCUAAAGAAUUUUCUCAAAAGCAAAAUAUUUAUUGAUUUGAUACGUUUGCACCAGUAACAAAAAUUGCUUCUAUUCGAGUAUUAAUUGCUUUGGCAUCAAUUCAUAAGUUUUUUAUCCGUCAAAUGGAUGUAAAAACUGAUUUCUUAAAUGGAGAUUUAGAAGAAGAAAUUUAUAUGGUUCAACCUGAAGGAUGUGUAAUUUCUGGACAAGAAAAUAAAGUUUGUAAAUUAAUUAAAUUUCUUUAUGGCCUUAAACAAGCUCCUAAACAGUGACAUGAGAAAUUUGAUCAAGUUCUAAUAAAAGAUGAAUUUUCUUCUUUUGAAGUGGAUAAAUGUGUUUAUACUAAAGUAGUAGACAAUAAUUAUGUGAUAAUUUGUGUAUAUAUUGAUGACAUGCUUAUAUUUGGUACAUGUUUAAAUAUUGUGGAAUGUACUAAAUUAUUUUUGUCUACUAACUUUGAUAUGAAAGAUCUAGUUGAAGUGAAUAUGAUAUUGGAAAUUAAAGUUAUAAGGAGUGAAGAUAGAAUAAUGUUGUCACAAGAACAUUAUGUGGAAAGACUUCUUAAGAAGUUUGAAUGUUGGGAGAUAACUCUUGUAGCCACUCCUUCUGAUGCUAAUUCUAAAUUAAAAAGAAUAAUGAUGACCCAGUAGCUCAAUCUAAAUAUGCACAGAUAAUUGAGAGUCUGAUGCAUUUGAUGAAUUUUACUAGGCCUGAUAUAGCCUAUGUUGUGAGUAGACUGAGUAGAUAUACUCAUAAUCCCAAUAAUGAGCAUUGGUCUGUAUUAAUGAGAUUGAUAAAUAUUUGAGAGGAACCAUGAAUUAUGGUAUCUUGUACAGUGGAUUUUCUUCUACUUUAGAAGGGUAUUGUGAUGCAAAUUGAAUCUUUGAUUCAGAUGAGACAAAAUCCCCUAGUGGUUAUGUGUUCACCCUUGGUGAUGGUGCAGUAUCAUGGAAAUCAGCUAAACAGACGAUCAUUGCUAGAUCAACUAAGGAAUCAGAGUUUGUAGCUCUAGAAUUAGCUGGUACUAAGGUUGAAUGGCUAAGAAAUUUUUUAGCAAAUAUUUCUUUUAAAAAGGAUGAUUUGUCACUUAAUAUCCCUUUUAAAAAGGAUGAUAUGGUGCCUCCUAUGUAUAUACACUGUGAUUGUCGAGUCGCAAUUGCUAUCGCGAAAAAUAAGUCUUACAAUUGUAAGAGUAGACAUAUGAAAUUGAGGCAUGAUGUUAUUAAGCAAUUGCUGAGAGAUAGAAUAAUUUCCAUAAAUUAUGUGAAGUUAGAAUUGAAUUUGGCUAAUUCACUGACUAAACUCGUGGGCAGAAAAUUAAUUCUUCAAACGUCAAAAGAGAUAGAGUUAAGACCAAUAUGAUUGUCAAUAAAGAUGAUAAUCCAACCUAUGUGAUUGGGGAUCCCAUGAAGUAGGUUCAUAUGGGUAAUAACAAGUCGAUAUUGACUCAGCGCACUUAUUGAGAGUGUUUGGACUGCUGCUAAAAUGGAGGGAUGAGUUAUAAACUCUUAAUGAAUUCAUAGUCCUUGUGGAUGGUGUAUUUAAAGCAGUGUACACUUGAUGAAUUCACCUAUAUGAGAAGUGGAAUGAGGCCGUUCCUAUGUUACUUUUGGCCUUAGUUUCUACAGCUCUCAUGAAUACCAGGCACGCGCAUGACCUAUUAGCGCAAAAUCACGUUGAACAACAAAAUUACGGUCAAAAUGUGAUUAAUAAAAUCUCUGGCUUACAACCAGAAUUAUUCGGUUCAUAGAAAUAUUAUAUUUCACCAAUAAUUCUGUAAGUUAAAUUUUAUUAGUGUAAGUUUGGUUCAUAGUCCAGAAGAUACUAAACCUACUGCAUUUUGUCUAUGCAAAUCCAACAAGUUAAAAAGUUUUUUUUUUCUAUAAACUAUUUUGAAAUAAUUUGGGGAUUGUAGGAUAAUUAUUUAUUUAUCUCAAAAUAAUUUAUUAUGUAUUUGGAAAAUAGGAAAAGAGGAGUCAUAUUAACUUACUUAAAAAAAAAGGUAAUUGCAUGCAUGCUUUGAGUUUGACAUUUGGCCAUAUACUUGACAGUUGGCACAAACAUGUUUAAGGUGACUUAUCUGUAUGACACUAUUUGGACAAGUGUCCAUACACUUGUCAACCUUUUGAGCAUUUUAGUUACUAUAAAUAGGCAACAUUCUUGCCAUUGUGCAGUAACAAAACUCUUCAACAUUCAUUUUUUUGUCUUACUUAUUUUCCCAUCUCUUUCACUUCUCUUAUUAUUAUAUAUAUGUUUAACUAAAAAAGGUUUUAUUAGUUAUAUCUGUUUCUAAAUUAACUUGUUGGUAUUUGUAUUAAUAAUUUUGUUGAUUCCUGUAUCUCUAAUUAAUUAAUUAAUUAAUUAGGGUAGUGUUUGUUUAAUCCUGGGGAAACAUUUCACUCUAUCGAAAUAGUUUCUUAGGACAGUGUCUAGCACGACUCAAGUAUUAUUUAUAAAUUACUUAAUUUGUUAGUUACUUUAUUAGUUACUUAAUUUAGUGAACAGAACUAUAUUGCUCCCAAAAAAAUAGUAAUUUACACGUUUAGAUUUUGAUCUUCGGCCAUCCUGAUCCUCACGACCCAACACUAUAUUAUUCUACUAUAUUUUUUUUCACAUGAAAAGAUGCGACUGGAGUUGUUCAAAGCAAAAGAAGUUCUGAUCACAGACAGAUUUUAAAAGAAGGAGAAAGUUUGAAAAGAUGCCACCGGAAUUGUUCAAAGUGAAAGAAGUUCCGAUCAAAAACAACUUGGCAAGGGCGGUUCCAAUCACAGACACUUUUAAAAGAAGAUAAAAGAGAAGAGGGGCAAGGGCGGUGAGAUCAGAGAAGGAGCUAAGACCGCUUAGGCCUUUUACUAAUGUCCCACACUAAAAGAGAGAAAUCUAUGUAGCUUUGAAUAGUUUCCGAAAAGACUAGUAUUGCUUAUUCCUUGCUUAUUCAAGAAAUUGAAUACUAAUGGAAAUUUAGAAUCACUCUUAACCACUAUGAUUAUUCAACUACAACUCAACUUACCAUUUUCUUUAUGACUUUAGUAACUGUGAAAAUUUUAUAUUUGUCACUUUCCAUCUCAAUUACCAUUUUUAGGGUCAGUCGAAAAAAAUAUAAUUUAUUUUAAUAUUAAUGUUAUGGAUGUAAGUGAAUGAGCUAAAUGACAAAAGCCUCUGCUUGAUUCAAAGUUGCUAGAUUCAUUCUAAAUGUUCAGGGAGAGGCUCAAUACAAUAUGUGACUAAAGCCAAAAUUUAAAAAAGAGGUCUAACAUUUGUUUAAUAUUUUUUAAAAAUAUUUUAUCAUAUUUUUUAAUAAUUUAAUGAUAAUUUAAUAAUUAAUUUUUUUUAAAUUGAUGGUAUAAUAUUUCUUGUAAGAUUUUGUAAGACACAAAUAGACAUAUAUAAAUUAUUGUAUAUUAGAUAACACAACAAAUGUCUGGAUCUUAGGUCUUACUUAUUAUAACCUUUUCAAUUGAGCCAAUUAUUACACAAACUAUCAAAAUUAUUUUAGAACUAUUUAAAUAGGUAUAUAAAUUUCCUAACAAUAGACAUAUAUAAUAAAAGUUUUUAAAAAUAUAAUUAAGGUUUCACCUGAUUGAGUAUCGUCAACUAGAGUAUCGUUUUUAUUUGUAUAAUAUUUGCUAUAUUUUAAUGGAAAAUUAUCCGGAUUAGUCACUAUUAGACUUUUAUUACCAUUUAAAGC